rnacentral:rRNA from 1 species
CGGGGUGAGUAACACGUGGGUAACCUGCCCGGAAGUGGGGAAUACCUCGGGGAAACUCGAGCUAAUACCGCAUGACAUCUUCGGAACGAAAGUUCAGACGAUCAAAGCGGGGUCGCAAGAUCUCGCGCUACCGGAUGGGCCCGCGCCCGAUUAGCUAGUUGGUGAGGUAACGGCUCACCAAGGCUUCGAUCGGUAACCGGCCUGAGAGGGCGAUCGGUCACACCGGAACUGAGACACGGUCCGG